rnacentral:lncRNA from 1 species
AAAAAUUUUGAUUAUCGUGUCAUUAUCAAAUACAAUAGUUCUAAGAAGUUCAGAUGGAGAAUCAUCCGAUACUCUUCUCUGGCUUCAUCUUCUCUUCUCUGUGAUUCUGGGCUCCUGCUGCUGAUAUAAAUGGUUUUUAAGGAAACUUGUUUCUUUAAUCCGGCUGAGUGUAGCGAAUCUUCCAUAAGAAUAAAACGGAGAGAAAUCUGAUGAGCAGUUUGUUUGGUGGUCGACUGGUCCAAAUCCAUUCGCUCUCUCGAUUCUCUUCUCUCUCAAUCGUGCGUUAUUCGGGAUAUCUAUCUGGAAUCAAUCAUAUUGCUAUAGUCAAUUGGAGCUUUAUAAGCAUGUGAUUAAGGAAUGCGAAAAGGCGCUUCAAAUUGAUUCUACUCUCCUUCAACCUUAUACCCUAAAAGUGACGUUGUCAAAAAAAAGAAAUAGAGCAUAAAGAGAGCAUAGUGACCAGCUUUGAGAACAUGAGGAAUCUCAAGUUUAAGCAGCUUAGAGAGCAACUCAAAUCCACUAGCAGAUAUAUGUUGCUGGGUACCGGCUCACUUUAGUCCAUUGCUGGUUUGGUAAAAAGAUUUGGUAUUUGGUCCAGAAUCUGCAUGUUACAGGAGUCACAACCUGCAUUCAGAGGGGUUCUUGGUACGGGUUAUACCUAUUCGGAAUUCUUAGUCAGUUUGCAGCUCUCCGAGUUUCCAGUGGCUGGGUGUCGAGCCUAAGUUUGGCCUAUAAUUGCUGGUCCUGGAACUGUUAUUUGCUGGAACGAAAUGGCGCCUAGUUAUCUCACCACGGAAUGCAAAAGAGCGGUAUUUGACCUUCCACAAUGUUACUGCCAUGGUUGGAUUUGGUUACCAGCAGCAGCAGCAUCUGGUUCUUGGAAUGAGGCCGGGUGGUGGUCGUAGGUUUGCACUAGCUGUCUGAUUAGGUCAAAGCCGUGGGACUGGUUCCGUCCAAACAACUUCCAUGCAGCAACAGAUAUGUAAAUGAUGUUUAC